AUUGAACGCUGGCGGCAGGCCUAACACAUGCAAGUCGAGCGGAUGAAGGGAGCUUGCUCCUGGAUUCAGCGGCGGACGGGUGAGUAAUGCCUAGGAAUCUGCCUGGUAGUGGGGGAUAACGUCCGGAAACGGGCGCUAAUACCGCAUACGUCCUGAGGAAGAAAGUGGGGGAUCUUCGGACCUCACGCUCUCAGAUGAGCCUAGGUCGGAUUAGCUAGUUGGUGGGGUAAAGGCCUACCAAGGCGACGAUCCGUAACUGGUCUGAGAGGAUGAUCAGUCACACUGGAACUGAGACACGGUCCAGGCGCCUACGGGAGGCAGCAGUGGGGAAUAUUGGACAAUGGGCGAAAGCCUGAUCCAGCCAUGCCGCGUGUGUGAAGAAGGUCUUCGGAGUGUAAAGCACUUUAAGUUGGGAGGAAGGGCAGUAAGUUAAUACCUUGCUGUUUUGACGUUACCAACAGAAUAAGCACCGGCUAACUUCGUG
rnacentral:rRNA from 1 species